UGGGCAACCUGCCCUCAGCUCUGGGAUAACUCCAAGAAAUUGGGGCUAAUACCGGAUAUAACCGCUGACCGCAUGGUCUGGUGGUGGAAAGAUUUAUCGGCUGGGGAUGGGCCCGCGGCCUAUCAGCUUGUUGGUGGGGUAGUGGCCCACCAAGGCGACGACGGGUAGCCGGCCUGAGAGGGUGACCGGCCACACUGGGACUGAGACACGGCCCAGACUCCUACGGGAG
rnacentral:rRNA from 1 species